GACGUAGGGGGCCAGCGUUGUUCGGAAUUACUGGGUGUAAAGGGUGCGUAGGCGGCGCGGUAAGUCGGGUGUGAAAUCUCGGGCUUAACUCCGAAACUGCAUUCGAUACUGCCGUGCUUGAGGACUGGAGAGGAGACGUGGAAUUUACGGUGUAGCGGUGAAAUGCGUAGAUAUCGUAAGGAAGACCAGUGGCGAAGGCGGGUCUCUGGACAGUUCCUGACGCUGAGGCACGAAGGUCAGGGGAGCAAACAGG
rnacentral:rRNA from 1 species